rnacentral:ncRNA from 1 species
CAUAGGUUCGUUCGAUCAGGUGUCCUAUGACUCAAUAGGGAAUCCCGUGCGAAUCGGGAGCGGACCCGCCGCCGUGACGUCCUGUCGAACCGCUGCCACUCAUGCCACUGGGGGAAACCCUGGGAAGGCGGAAGCGGGAGGGACCAGCCGGAAGACCUGCCUGAUGCGAUCUCAGGAC